rnacentral:lncRNA from 1 species
CUGACAUUAAAAUAUUCACAUACCAUAACCAACUUUUAAAACUAUGUACUUCAGAUAUACUUAAGUGAUUUUUAGUAUAUUCACAGAGUUUUACAAUCAUCACUACCUUUUCUGAAAUUCAUUAAUCCUCCUCCCCCCCCCAAAAAAAAAAAAUCCCAGGACAUCAGCAAAAAAAGACCCAUGAACAUUCUUUUCUUCAUAAAACAAUGAGAAAACUGGCAAAUAAAGGCAUAAUUAAUUCUUUCAGAUCUCUAGAAAUUAUCCCAAGUUCUGCAGCUAUGGGGUUAUUCAUUCAACAAACAGCUGAAUUUUAGAAAUAAUAGUGAAUUUUUUUGUCCUUUAAUUGGCUCUAUUGCCAUGGCUCUCCUUUCCAGUUAUGCAAUAGCUUUUGAAACCUGCAACCUAGUGAAAAUCAGGGGCCUAGCAGCCAUUGAAGGAGGUAGAAGGGGGUUGAAGCUCCUUCAAAGAUUCAUUCCCAGAGAAUUAUCAUUUAUUAACAUGCCUAGCAAUCGCUUAUCUACUUUUUGUCUCAAUAGAUUUGAAUAUUUUGGACACUGCCUAUAAAUAGAAUUAUAAAAUAUAUGGCCUUUUGUAUGAUAUAGCAUAAUAUUUCCAAGGUCCAUUUAUAUUAUGUUAUCUAUUGGUACUUCAUU